rnacentral:lncRNA from 1 species
GGGCCGCUCUCUGCCAGGCUUAGCUCGGGUCAAGGGCGCAGGGCCGGGAGAGGAUGUUGGCCGCGGCCCCCGACGCCAAGUGGGCACGGAUUGCCACUGGCGACAGGUAGAUUUCUCUCUCUGGGAAAUCUGCCAAACGCUUUUCUAAAGCUCCCAGCGUGUCCUCUGCCUGCAGCCCCUACCCUACGCCCCCCAGCUCAGGCGCCUCGCUCCAGGCAGGUCGCCUCUGGGCCUUUGCACAGAACGUCCGGUUGUCGCUGGCGUCGCCCACUGUGAACUGGCCCUAGAUUCUCCCAGACCCAGAAUAGUGCUCCUGCUUUACGCACCGCACGCAGCCUCUGCAGUGCAACCCGAGCUGCCUGGGACCUAGGACCGACCCCUCCCUGCGAGGACCCCGGCUCGGCUGGCCUGCACAGGAGCCUGGCUCCGCGCUGGUUACACCAGUCACCGCCAGGCGGCGCGCGCCCCAGCUGACCUCGUUAGCGAUGUCUCUCCUUGUGAUCCCCACUCUGAGCCCCAGCCCAGCGCUGGGCAGUUUGUGCCGACAGCUGGGGGAAGACUUCCAUGUGCUAAUGAACUCCGUAGGUCGUCGGCAGCCAGAGAAACCCACCGCAAAUAACAGCGCAAGCCCGAUUCGCCAGCUGAUGAUGAGGCCCUGGAUGAAAGCUAGGAAUUCGAGCCCCUGCUGCUGGAGGGAGGCUGGCGUCUUCAAGAGCACCUACUGA